GUGAAGGUGAGCAAAUCCCAAAAAUAACGUCCCAGUUCGGAUUGUAGUCUGCAACCCGACUACAUGAAGCUGGAAUCGCUAGUAAUCGCGGAUCAGAAUGCCGCGGUGAAUACGUUCCCGGGUCUUGUACACACCGCCCGUCACACCAUGGGAGUCGGAAAUGCCCGAAGCCGGUGACUCAACCUUUAAGGAGAGAGCCGUCGAAGGCAGGUCUGAUAACUGGGGUGAAGUCGUAACAAGGUAAC
rnacentral:rRNA from 1 species